UUUCAAACGUUCAGUGGGAAUGGAAUUUGUUCUUCAAGUGCAGAUUCAAUCCAUUUUGAGUCGAUUUCCGAACGAUUUCAAACGUUCAGAGGAGCGUGCCCUAACGGCACUCAAGCGCAGAUUCAAUCCAUUUUUACGAAUAACUGUCCAGAUUCAAUUCACAAUGUGCCCUAACGGCACUCAGAUCGUGUUACCGUUGGAAAAAGCAGAUCGUGUUACCGUUGGAAAAAGCAGGAUUUCAAUUCUUUUAAAAGGAGAUAUACUAGAGAAGCAGAGCAGAUUAUAUUGUUCUUUCAUUUUUUUUGUUUUCUUUGUAAGUUUAAUUUUUUUUGGCGUGGCCAUGCCUCUGAGUCUUGCUUUCCUGAGUUUGUAAUUUUUACUUUUUAUACUCAGAUGUUUUCAUUUGCUUUCUGGGUUUGAAUUGCAGUUUUUUGUUUUGGUAUUUUGUGUAUUUCUUUUCUGUGGGGCGUCAUUUUUGAUGGGCAUGGAGGUAGGCAGCAGCAAGAAUUCUACGUUCUGGAGUGGCUGAUUGGAGUUAUGGACAGAAAAUGGGCAGAGCCGUAGAUUGACUCCGCUCGACCAUUUUAACAGUAGUAGAAUAAACCUCACCCCACUAAUACGUUCACCAUAUCUUGGUCACCAUGUUGUCGAGGUAAGCUUAUUUCUUUGUUUUAUCAUCUAUGCAUGGUGAGAUUUCAUGUUUCUUGUAUAUGGGCUUUCAUGUUCUUUUAAAUGUAUUGGGUUUUUAUAUUGGUCUCUGUGUUCUCUUAAAUCUGUUGGGUUUUGUAAACGAGUCUCUGUUUUGCAAUGCUCAUUCCGCAUGACUCUUGGUGGGUUUUUAUACUUUUAUGUUUUCAAUGUUGCUCAAUGCUUUAAUCACAGGCGUGCCAUCGUAAUUGUAAUUGAUUCUUAUACAUUCUCAAAACCCCCAACAUAAUUCAAGAUUAAGAUAUCUUUGUGUGCAUUUGGAUCGGCUGCUGCAUUAUUAACAUAGCCUUUUUGUCAAAUCCAUUUUGUGCAUACACUGAAAUCAUUUUAUUCUAUUUGUUUUAUUUUGAAGCAUUAUAAGCUGUACCUUGACCAUACUCCCGCAUUUUGCAUGCUUAUCUGUGUAAAUGAAUGGUGUGUUACCCCUUUUAUUUUAUUUUUACAGUUUAUACAACUUCUGACAGAUGAGUUUUGUAUCGAUCUCUUAUUUUACAAAUAGUUUGGUUAACUUAUUUAUGUUCUGCAUUUUGCAUGCAUGGUUACCAAACAUUUGUAAUACCAUAGAAAAUCAUUCAGAAAUUUAGAUAUUAUUGGUAUUUCCAAGGUGAGUUUUCCCUCACUUAGAUAAUAUUUUGAAAAAUUCUGGAUAUUACUGGGCCAUGAAUAAGAGUAUCGCAAUAGUUAUGUUUCAAAAUACUUCAUUGUCAUUGCCACUCUCCAUGGCUUUUACAUUUCUGUAGAGAAGAAUUUUAAACAUAUUUUGCAUUCUUCAUUAACAAGGGGGUGGGGCAUGCUUUAUGACAUUUGACAUAGAGGAGUGUUUUUUAAGUGUUAUAUUUUGU